rnacentral:lncRNA from 1 species
AAAAAAUAAUAAAAUAGUGUUUAUAAUAAAAAAAUGUUUUAUAAAUACAAAAUUAGUUUUAAUAAAUAUAAAAUAGUAUAAAAAUUAAAAAAUAGUUUAAAUAAAUCACAAAAACAGUUAAUAAUUACAAAAAAUAGUUUUAAAAAUAUUUAAAAUGUUAAAUAAUUACAAAAAAUAGUUUUCAUAAUAUUAAAAAUGUUUAAUAAAUAUAGAAAUUUAUAUUUUAUAUAUAAAAUACAUAAAACGUUUUAUAACCACAAAAAAAUGAUUUUAAAUAUUAUAUAUAUGAUUUUUAAUCUUAAAAAAAGUUUUAUAGAUUUUAAAAAUGUUUAAUAAAUAUAUAAAUGAAUUUAAAAUGCAAAAAAUAGAUUUUAUAUACAAAAAACGUUUUCAAUAUAUAUAUAUAAUUACAAAUUCGAUUUUUAUAACCACAAAAUUAAUAAAAACUAAAAAAAAAAAUUCAAAUCAAGUGAUACAAAUCAAAUCUACCAUUCACCCUAACAAAAUCUAUAAAUCUAC